rnacentral:lncRNA from 1 species
CUGAGGAUGAAGACCAGAGAAUCACUUCUGAAUACAAAGACUAUAAACAAGAAGACCUCUCUCUUGGGAAAAAUGCCGUGCACUCUGCAUAUGAUGAAACUUAAAAGAUACACAGUAGGAAUCUCAGUCUGGCCAAAUGAAGGCUAUGAAGGAACAGAGAGAAAUUCCACAAAAUCAUCAAGGGAAGAGUGACUUUGACUUUAAUUUACCACAUACAGAACUUAUCAGAGGCAGAUGCAGAUUUCAUGGAGCCAGAAGCUCAUCUAAUGUGGGGAACUACUUUAAGAAAAAUUAUUAGAGAAUUUCUCAAAUUUGCAAAAUACAAAUGCAUGCAUUUAGAAUAAGAAAAACUAUCAUGAAAAAUUCCUGAUGACUUAGAAACUCUGGUAUCUUUC